rnacentral:rRNA from 1 species
UACGGAGGGGGCUAGCGUUGUUCGGAAUUACUGGGCGUAAAGCGCGCGUAGGCGGCUUUGUAAGUUAGAGGUGAAAGCCCAGGGCUCAACCCUGGAAUUGCCUUUAAGACUGCAUCGCUUGAACAUCGGAGAGGUAAGUGGAAUUCCGAGUGUAGAGGUGAAAUUCGUAGAUAUUCGCAAGAACACCAGUGGCGAAGGCGGCUUACUGGACCGGUUCUGACGCUGAGGCGCGAAAGCGUGGGGAGCAAACAGG